rnacentral:misc_RNA from 1 species
GUGAGUCAUCGAAUCUUUGAACGCACAUUGCGCCCUUUGGUAUUCCGAAGGGCAUGCCUGUUCGAGCGUCAUUAUCAACCCUCAAGCCUGGCUUGCUGUUGGACCUUUCGUCGAUAGAAGACGGGUCCCAAAGAUAAUGACAGAGUCGUGUUGGACCCUAGAUGCAACGAGCUUUUAUAGCACGCAUUGAGGUGGUCAACCACUCUUGUCCCAACCCCUAUUUUUACAAGGUUGACCUCGGAUCAGGUAGGAAUACCCGCUGAACUUAAGCAUAUCAAUAAGCGGAGGA